rnacentral:lncRNA from 1 species
UGAGGGCAGCUAUGAGGCUGCCAAGCUGCUGCUGGAUCAUUUUGCCAACCGGGAGAUCACAGAUCACUUGGACAGGCUGCCCCGGGAUGUGGCCCAGGAGCGGCUGCACCAGGACAUUGUGCGGUUGCUGGACCAGCCCAGUGGCCCCCGAAGUCCCUCUGGUCCCCAUGGCUUGGGGCCAUUGCUCUGCCCACCAGGAGCCUUCCUUCCUGGCCUCAAAGCGGUGCAGUCUGGGACCAAGAAGAGCAGGAGGCCACCUGGCAAGACUGGGCUGGGGCCCCAGGGAACUCGGGGUCGGGGCAAGAAGCUGACACUGGCCUGUCCAGGCCCUCUGGCAGACAGCUCUGUCACACUGUCACCAGUGGACUCGCUGGACUCACCACGGCCUUUCGGUGGGCCCCCUGCUUCCCCUGGAGGCUUCCCCUUGGAGGGUCCCUAUGCCACCACAGCCACCACGGUGUCCUUGGCACAGCUGGGUGCAAGUCGGGCGGGUCCUCUGGGGCGCCAGCCUCCUGGGGGCUGUGUGCUCAGCCUUGGUUUGCUCAACCCUGUGGCUGUUCCCCUUGACUGGGCCCGGCUGCCUCCACCUGCCCCUCCAGGGCCCUCAUUCCUGCUGCCCCUGGCUCCGGGAUCCCAGCUGCUCAACCCGGCAACCCCAGUUUCUCCCCAUGAGCGGCCCCC